UACGUAGGUCCCGAGCGUUGUCCGGGUUUAUUGGGCGUAAAGCGAGCGCAGGUGGUUUAUUAAGUCUGGUGUAGAAGGCAGUGGCUCAACCAUUGUAUGCAUUGGAAACUGGUAGACUUGAGUGCAGGAGAGGAGAGUGGAAUUCCAUGUGUAGCGGUGAAAUGCGUAGAUAUAUGGAGGAACACCGGUGGCGAAAGCGGCUCUCUGGCCUGUAACUGACACUGAGGCUCGAAAGCGUGGGGAGCAAACAGG
rnacentral:rRNA from 1 species